UUCUUUAAUAUAGUUAUCCUUUUAAAAGAUCAACCCUUAAAUAGAGAGUCCAAUAAGCCUAACUUGGUUAUUUGACUAGAGAGUUCAAUAAGCCAAACUUAGUUGUUUGACUGGUUGCCAACACAGUUUCACAUGGGAUUUGGAAAAGCAGAGUGAACUAGCAAUAGAAUUAUGAAUCUGAAAAUGAAUGUUCAAAACCAUACAUGGCUAAGAAAAGGCAUGCCAAGAGUUAGUUCUAAAAGAUAUUGUGACCAUACUUGGAGAUGUAUCAG
rnacentral:misc_RNA from 1 species